rfam:Rhizophagus irregularis DAOM 181602 strain DAOM 197198 GLOINscaffold_5248_Cont5238, whole genome shotgun sequence.
UGCAAAGAUGAAAAAAGCAAUAAAAGCUGGAAUUACCGGCUGAAUUAUUAUGUUGAGAAUAUUUUGCACCAUAAAUUAUACUGAGC